CCUACGGGAGGCAGCAGUGGGGAAUAUUGGACAAUGGGCGAAAGCCUGAUCCAGCCAUGCCGCGUGUGUGAAGAAGGCCUUCGGGUUGUAAAGCACUUUCAGUGGGGAAGAAAGCCUUGGGGCUAAUACCCUCGAGGAAGGACAUCACCCACAGAAGAAGCACCGGCUAACUCCGUGCCAGCAGCCGCGGUAAUACGGAGGGUGCGAGCGUUAAUCGGAAUUACUGGGCGUAAGGCGCGCGUAGGCGGUCUGAUAAGCCGGUUGUGAAAGCCCCGGGCUCAACCUGGGAACGGCAUCCGGAACUGUCAGGCUAGAGUGCAGGAGAGGAAGGUAGAAUUCCCGGUGUAGCGGUGAAAUGCGUAGAGAUCGGGAGGAAUACCAGUGGCGAAGGCGGCCUUCUGGACUGACACUGACGCUGAGGUGCGAAAGCGUGGGUAGCAAACAGGAUUAGAUACCCGUGUAGUC
rnacentral:rRNA from 1 species